UACGGAGGGUGCAAACGUUGCUCGGAAUCAUUGGGCGUAAAGCGCACGUAGGCGGUCCGGUAAGUCGGAUGUGAAAUCCCUCGGCUCAACCGAGGAAGUGCAUUCGAAACUGCCAGACUUGAAUAUGGAAGAGGGUCGCGGAAUUCCCGGUGUAGAGGUGAAAUUCGUAGAUAUCGGGAGGAACACCAGUGGCGAAGGCGGCGACCUGGGCCAAUAUUGACGCUGAGGUGCGAAAGCGUGGGGAGCAAACAGG
rnacentral:rRNA from 1 species